CAGUCGCCACGGUAAUACGAAGGGUGCAAGCGUUAAUCGGAAUUACUGGGCGUAAAGCGUGCGUAGGCGGUGAGUUAAGUCUGCUGUGAAAUCCCCGGGCCCAACCUGGGAAUGGCAGUGGAUACUGGCUCGCUAGAGUGUGUCAGAGGAUGGUGGAAUUCCCGGUGUAGCGGUGAAAUGCGUAGAGAUCGGGAGGAACAUCAGUGGCGAAGGCGGCCAUCUGGGACAACACUGACGCUGAGGCACGAAAGCGUGGGGAGCAAACAGGAUUAGAUACCCCCGUAGUCCCUGUCUCUUAUAC
rnacentral:rRNA from 1 species